rnacentral:rRNA from 1 species
AUUGAACGCUGGCGGCAGGCCUAACACAUGCAAGUCGAACGGUAGCACAGAGAGCUUGCUCUCGGGUGACGAGUGGCGGACGGGUGAGUAACGUCUGGGAAACUGCCCGAUGGAGGGGGAUAACUACUGGAAACGGUAGCUAAUACCGCAUAACGUCGCAAGACCAAAGAGGGGGACCUUCGGGCCUCACACCAUCGGAUGUGCCCAGAUGGGAUUAGCUAGUAGGUGGGGUAAUGGCUCACCGAGGCGACGAUCCCUAGCUGGUCUGAGAGGAUGGCCAGCCAGAUGGGAACUGAGACACGGCCCAGACUCCUACGGGGGGCAGCAGUGGGGAAUAUUGCACAAUGGGCGCAAGCCUGAUGCAGCCAUGCCGCGUGUAUGAAGAAGGCCUUCGGGUUGUAAAGUACUUUCAGCGGGGAGGAAGGCGGUGAAGUUAAUAGCUUCACCGAUUGACGUUACCCGCAGAAGAAGCACCGGCUAACUCCGUGCCAGCAGCCGCCGUAA